UACAGAGGUCUCAAGCGUUGUUCGGAUUCAUUGGGCGUAAAGGGCGCGUAGGCGGCCUGGCAAGUGGAAGGUGAAAUCCCUCGGCUUAACCGAGGAACUGCCUUCCAAACUGCUUGGCUUGAGUCCGGGAGAGGUGAGUGGAAUUCCCAGUGUAGCGGUGAAAUGCGUAGAUAUUGGGAGGAACACCAGUGGCGAAGGCGGCUCACUGGACCGGAACUGACGCUGAUGCGCGAAAGCGUGGGGAGCAAACGGG
rnacentral:rRNA from 1 species